rnacentral:rRNA from 1 species
UACGUAGGGUGCAAGCGUUGUCCGGAAUUAUUGGGCGUAAAGAGCUCGUAGGCGGUCUGUCGCGUCGGCUGUGAAAACCCGGAGCUCAACUCCGGGCCUGCAGUCGAUACGGGCAGACUGGAGUUCGGCAGGGGAGACUGGAAUUCCUGGUGUAGCGGUGAAAUGCGCAGAUAUCAGGAGGAACACCGGUGGCGAAGGCGGGUCUCUGGGCCGAUACUGACGCUGAGGAGCGAAAGCUAGGGUAGCAAACGGG